UUCUUGACAGCGUAUCGUCGAGGAUAGCGGCAGACGGGUGAGUAAUACUUGGGUAAUCUACCCUCGAAAGGGAGACAACCUGCCGAAAGGCGGGCUAAUAUCCCGUAAGACCACAGGAGCGCAUGCUCCAGAGGUCAAAGCUCCGCAAGGGGUGUUUGAGGAGGAACCCGAGGCCUAUCAUGGUAGUUGGCGGGGUAACGGCCCACCAAGCCUUUGACGGGUAGCCGACCUGAAAGGGUGACCGGCCACACUGGCACUGAGACACGGGCCAGACUCCUACGGGAGGCAGCAGUGGGGAAUUUUGGACAAUGGGGGAAACCCUGAUCCAGCGACGCCGCGUGGAGGAUGAAGGUCUUCGGAUUGUAAACUCCUUUUGGAGGGGAUGAAUGGCUUGGUGAAUAGCCAAGAGUGACAGUACUCUCUGAAUAAGCCACGGCUAACUACGUGCCAGCAGCCGCGGUAAUACGUAGGUGGCAAGCGUUACUCGGAAUCACUAGGCGUAAAGCGCAGGUAGGCGGUUCGGCAAGUCCGUUGUGAAAGCUCCCGGCUCAACUGGGAGAGGCCAACGGAAACUGCCGGGCUAGAGUGUGGUAGGGGAAGCUGGAAUUCCCGGUGUAGCGGUGAAAUGCGUAGAUAUCGGGAGGAACACCUAUGGCGAAAGCAGGCUUCUGGGCCAUCACUGACGCUGAUCUGCGAAAGCUAGGGGAGCAAACAGGAUUAGAUACCCUGGUAGUCCUAGCCCUAAACGAUGCUCAUUAGGUGUGGGAGGUAUCGA
rnacentral:rRNA from 1 species